GCAGAUCCACUCAGGGAUCCNUCGGAGGUCUGUGUGGGGCCCCCUCUGAGCCCCCCAUCCCCUUACAGAUCCUUCGUGUGGAUGGCCAGCUACAACCAGGCUACGCAGGAGAUUGCGCGGCCCUCUGAGGUGCUGGCUGGCCUGCGCUCCUACCUUGCCUUCAUCCAGUCACUGGGGCANGUUCACGUGCGUGGACUCCAGCCGCAUCAUCCACAAUGUCCUGCUUCAGCAGACACAACCCCUGGACUCCAGCGGGGAGCAGACCCUCACCACCAUCUACACCAACUGGUACCUGGAGGUGCUGCUGCGCCAGGCCAGCACUGGGGCCAUUGUGCUGUCCCCAGCCAUGCAGGCCUUCAUCAGCGUCCCCAGGGAGGGGGAGCAGAGUUUCAGUGCAGAGGAGUUUUCAGACAUCUCAGAGAUGCGGGCGCUGGCCGAGCUGCUGGGUCCCUAUGGCAUGAAGUUCCUGAGCGACAACCUCAUGUGGCACGUCACCUCGCAGGUGGUGGAGCUGAAGGUAGGAGGCUGGGGCGGGAGAAGCCACUGCUGGCUGCACUCAGCUCCCCAGGGCUACGGGC
rnacentral:lncRNA from 1 species